AGAGGAUUCUUGCUGGUUGUUCACAGCCGCACAUGUGUCCAACCUCUACAAAAAAUCCACUCAAAAUCCUGAUCUAAUCAAUUUUUUCGAGAGUGCUAGCUCGCGCGAAGGCCUUCUUCUUGGCUGAUCUGGAUCUUUUCUUCAAAUUUUUUAGCCUCUUUCUAGAGAUAGAAGAUAGAUUUCUAGAGGAGAUUAAGAGGUGGAAGAAAGAUGGAAAGAAAAAUAAUUUUUUUCUUAUUUUUUUCCUCUUCCCAAACCCAAAGGUAUAAAAUCCUAGAAAACAUAUUUUGCACACACCCCA
rnacentral:lncRNA from 1 species